rnacentral:rRNA from 1 species
UACGGGAGGCAGCAGUGGGGAAUAUUGCACAAUGGGCGCAAGCCUGAUGCAGCCAUGCCGCGUGUAUGAAAAGGCCUUCGGUUGUAAGUACUUCUAGUCGUGAGGAAGGUGUUAAGGUUAAUAACCUUAGCAAUUGACGUUAGCGACAGAAGAAGCACCGGCUAACUCCGUGCCAGCAGCCGCGGUAAUACGGAGGGUGCGAGCGUUAAUCGGAAUUACUGGGCGUAAAGGGCACGCAGGCGGUUAAUUAAGUUGGAUGUGAAAUCCCCGGGCUUAACCUGGGAAUGGCAUUCAAGACUGGUUAGCUAGAGUCUUGUAGAGGGGGUAGAAUUCCAUGUGUAGCGGUGAAAUGCGUAGAAGAUGUGGAGGAAUACCGGUGGCGAAGGCGGCCCCCUGGACAAAGACUGACGCUCAUGUGCGAAAGCGUGGGGAGCAAACAGGGAUUAGAUACC